rnacentral:rRNA from 1 species
CCAGACAGCCAGGAUGUUGGCUUAGAAGCAGCCAUCAUUUAAAGAAAGCGUAAUAGCUCACUGGUCGAGUCGGCCUGCGCGGAAGAUGUAACGGGGCUAAACCAUGCACCGAAGCUGCGGCAGCGACGCUUAUGCGUUGUUGGGUAGGGGAGCGUUCUGUAAGCCUGCGAAGGUGGCCUGUGAGGGUUGCUGGAGGUAUCAGAAGUGCGAAUGCUGACAUAAGUAACGAUAAAGCGGGUGAAAAGCCCGCUCGCCGGAAGACCAAGGGUUCCUGUCCAACGUUAAUCGGGGCAGGGUGAGUCGACCCCUAAGGCGAGGCCGAAAGGCGUAGUCGAUGGGAAACGGGUUAAUAUUCCCGUACUUGGUGUUACUGCGAAGGGGGGACGGAGAAGGCUAUGUUGGCCGGGCGACGGUUGUCCCGGUUUAAGCGUGUAGGUGUGUGUUCCAGGUAAAUCCGGUUCACUUUAACACUGAGGCGUGACGACGAGGCACUACGGUGCUGAAGCAACAAAUGCCCUGCUUCCAGGAAAAGCCUCUAAGCAUCAGGUAACAUCAAAUCGUACCCCAAACCGACACAGGUGGUCAGGUAGAGAAUACCAAGGCGCUUGAGAGAACUCGGGUGAAGGAACUAGGCAAAAUGGUGCCGUAACUUCGGGAGAAGGCACGCUGACACGUAGGUGAAGUGAUUUACUCAUGGAGCUGAAGUCAGUCGAAGAUACCAGCUGGCUGCAACUGUUUAUUAAAAACACAGCACUGUGCAAACACGAAAGUGGACGUAUACGGUGUGACGCCUGCCCGGUGCCGGAAGGUUAAUUGAUGGGGUCAGCGCAAGCGAAGCUCCUGAUCGAAGCCCCGGUAAACGGCGGCCGUAACUAUAACGGUCCUAAGGUAGCGAAAUUCCUUGUCGGGUAAGUUCCGACCUGCACGAAUGGCGUAAUGAUGGCCAGGCUGUCUCCACCCGAGACUCAGUGAAAUUGAACUCGCUGUGAAGAUGCAGUGUACCCGCGGCAAGACGGAAAGACCCCGUGAACCUUUACUAUAGCUUGACACUGAACAUUGAGCCUUGAUGUGUAGGAUAGGUGGGAGGCUUUGAAGUGUGGACGCCAGUCUGCAUGGAGCCGACCUUGAAAUACCACCCUUUAAUGUUUGAUGUUCUAACGUGGACCCGUUACCCGGGUUGCGGACAGUGUCUGGUGGGUAGUUUGACUGGGGCGGUCUCCUCCUAAAGAGUAACGGAGGAGCACGAAGGUUGGCUAAUCCUGGUCGGACAUCAGGAGGUUAGUGCAAUGGCAUAAGCCAGCUUGACUGCGAGCGUGACGGCGCGAGCAGGUGCGAAAGCAGGUCAUAGUGAUCCGGUGGUUCUGAAUGGAAGGGCCAUCGCUCAACGGAUAAAAGGUACUCCGGGGAUAACAGGCUGAUACCGCCCAAGAGUUCAUAUCGACGGCGGUGUUUGGCACCUCGAUGUCGGCUCAUCACAUCCUGGGGCUGAAGUAGGUCCCAAGGGUAUGGCUGUUCGCCAUUUAAAGUGGUACGCGAGCUGGGUUUAGAACGUCGUGAGACAGUUCGGUCCCUAUCUGCCGUGGGCGCUGGAGAACUGAGGGGGGCUGCUCCUAGUACGAGAGGACCGGAGUGGACGCAUCACUGGUGUUCGGGUUGUCAUGCCAAUGGCACUGCCCGGUAGCUAAAUGCGGAAGAGAUAAGUGCUGAAAGCAUCUAAGCACGAAACUUGCCCCGAG